rnacentral:rRNA from 1 species
GCCCUUUUCCGGUUGAUCCUGCCGGAGGCUAUUGCUAUCGGUGUCCGAUUUAGCCAUGCGAGUUGCACGUUUAACGUAGCAAACUGCUCAGUAACACGUGGCCAAACUGCCCUAUGGACUGGGAUAACCUCGGGAAACUGAGGCUAAUCCCGGAUAGCACAUCCGUCUUGGAACUGGAGGAUGUGUGAAACGUUCCGGCGCCAUAGGAUGUGGCUGCGGCCGAUUAGGUAGACGGUGGGGUAACGGCCCACCGUGCCGAUAAUCGGUACGGGUCAUGAGAGUGAGAGCCCGGAGACGGACUCUGAGACACGAGUCCGGGCCCUACGGGGCGCAGCAGGCGCGAAACCUUUACACUGCACGAUAGUGCGAUAGGGGGACACCGAGUGCGAGGGCAUAGAGCCCUCGCUUUUGUAGACCGUAAGGAGGUCUACGAAUAAGGGCUGGGCAAGACCGGUGCCAGCCGCCGCGGUAACACCGGCAGCCCGAGUGAUGGCCGAUAUUAUUGGGCCUAAAGCGUCCGUAGCUGGCCGCGCAAGUUCGUCGGGAAAUCCACUCGCUUAACGAGUGGGCGUCCGGCGAAAACUGUGCGGCUUGGGACCGGAAGAUCCAAGGGGUACGUCCGGGGUAGGAGUGAAAUCCCGUAAUCCUGGACGGACCACCGAUGGCGAAAGCACCUUGGAAGGACGGAUCCGACAGUGAGGGACGAAAGCUAGGGUCUCGAACCGGAUUAGAUACCCGGGUAGUCCUA